CAUAGCCUUUAGCCCUACAAGUAUUAAAGGUCCUGCCUGCCCAGUGAACAUAUUCAACGGCCGCGGUACCCUAACCGUGCAAAGGUAGCGUAAUCACUUGUCCCCUAAAUAGGGACCAGUAUGAAUGGCCAAAUGAGGGCCCACCUGUCUCCUUUGGCCCCCCAAUGAAACUGAUCCCCUAGUCCAAAAGCUAGAAUAAGCCCACAAGACGAGAAGACCCUGUGGAGCUUAAAACACGCCAUCACCAGCCCCCCUCCGUGACACCUGUUUUAAGUUGGGGCGACUAUGGAGCAAACAAAACCUCCACGAACCUGGCCAAACGCCACUAAAGGCACACACGCCAAAAAUUGACCCAGUACCACUGACUAUCGAACCAAGUUACCCCAGGGAUAACAGCGCCAUCCCCUUAAAGAGUCCUUAUCGCCAAGGGGGUUUACGACCUCGAUGUUGGAUCAGGACCCCCAGGCGGCGCAGCCGCUGCCAACGGUUCGUUUGUUCAACGAUUAAUGUCCUACGUGAUCUGAGU
rnacentral:rRNA from 1 species